CCUACGGUGGGCUGCAGUGGGGAAUAUUGGACAAUGGGGGGAACCCUGAUCCAGCAAUGCCGCGUGUGUGAAGAAGGCCUUCGGGUUGUAAAGCACUUUCAGCAGGGAGGAAAGGUGCGUAGUUAAUAGCUGCGCAAUUGACGUUACCUGCAGAAGAAGCACCGGCUAACUCCGUGCCAGCAGCCGCGGUAAUACGGAGGGUGCGAGCGUUAUUCGGAAUUACUGGGCGUAAAGCGCACGCAGGCGGUUGCCCAAGUCAGAUGUGAAAGCCCCGGGCUUAACCUGGGAACUGCAUUUGAAACUGGGCGACUAGAGUAUGAAAGAGGAAAGCGGAAUUUCCAGUGUAGCAGGUAAAUGCGUAGAUAUUGGAAGGAACACCGAUGGCGAAGGCAGCUUUCUGGGUCGAUACUGACGCUCAUGUGCGAAAGCGUGGGGAGCAAACAGGAUUAGAUACCCGGGUAGUC
rnacentral:rRNA from 1 species